ACGAAGAGACUUUACAAAAACGAUUGUUGAGUGAAUGAAAAAUUCACAACCACAAAAUGCAUAUGUUGCAAGAAACGUAAAAAAGAGGUGGAGCCCAGCGUAAGACGUGACUUGCUUAUUGCUUACACGGAGUUCACAAUUAACUUUGAAAAAUUUAUCUCGGUUGCAGGUAGCCUCUAUCUAUAAAGACCCAAGUAUUGGAAAUUUAAUUAAUAUUGUUAUUGUGAACUUAAUUGUGAUUCAUAAUGAACAGGUAAUAAAGUUUUUUUCUUUUUUCUUCUAUCUGUAUCCGAAAUGGCAUGUCUAAUUGGUAUUGGUACAACAGAUUAACCAUAAUUCUUCUCUGUAUUUAGGAUGGGCCUUCCAUAUCUUUUAAUGCUCAGACAACAUUAAAAAACUUUUGCCAGUGGCAGCAUUCGAAGAACAGUCCAGGUGGAAUCCAUCAUGAUACUGCUGUUCUCUUAACAAGACAGGAUAUCUGCAGAGCUCACGACAAAUGUGAUACCUUAGGCCUGGCUGAACUGGGAACCAUUUGUGAUCCCUACAGAAGCUGUUCUAUUAGUGAAGAUAGUGGAUUGA
rnacentral:sRNA from 1 species